GUUUCACAUUGGCUAAAUCAGUCAAUGUUGUUUAUGCUCCGGCGGCAGUAGAGGAAUAGAGCUGACAAGGAAGGGAUCUGUUGGUGGAAUUAACAGGGAAAGUAAUUCAUGAAGUGCCUGGUUGGACCAAGAGCUUGUCCGGUAGUGCUCACGACAAAUAUCUACAAUGAAGAACGAAACACUUGAAGAUAGGCUACCAAUUCGGUGUUGGACUCAGGUUUAGACACUGGGGCACGUGAUGUGUCAAUCAAACAUACUAUAGCCCUCAUAUAACGGAUGAUGCUGUUUGCAUAUUAAGAAUUGAAUGAUGCAAAGAGAUUCAUGAUGUAGAAGAACUUACAAGGAUGCCCCUAUAUAAUCUGCUCCACAUUGGCUUGAAGAGAUGCAAAUGUUGCAACUUCGCCGGAGGUUCUAUGUUGGAAGUUGUGUGGGUGGGUGGUUAAAGAUCCAGAGGUUAGCUAUUCCUUGCAGCUUAUAUCAUGGAACAGGACACCAAGUCAUUGCCAGAGUCUCAUAAUACCAUAUCCUCUUGGGGUCGUCCUAUACUGGGUCCACACUAUUGUCGCUUAUGCCGUCCCGGUAAAUAUAUAGACAAGGGAGUGUGUAUAGCGGACGAGGAUCAUCCAGCAUGCUGCUGGCCAUUUGAUCCUGUGACGUGCUAGAUGCAACCACCUCGACAAGCUGCUUGCUGGAUGAGAGGGCGACUUAGGACAUGAUCAAGUUUGCCCA